rfam:Myotis brandtii contig192593, whole genome shotgun sequence.
GGCGGUUCUCAGUGACACACCCUGGGAAUUGGGCUCCCUCCUCUCUGGCUCCAGUGUGUCACCCAAGAACCACA